CCCCUCAUCUCUCUCUCUCUGUCUCUCUCUCCAUACCUAAACAAGAUCUAGUUUUUCUCAUCUCCUCCUAAUUUUCCAUCUCUCCCUCUCUACUGUUUUCUUCUAAGUAACUGUUGCAACCCAUCACAAUUGUCAUCCGUUUUCAAUCUCAGCACUACAAAGAACUCGAAGCCACCAUUGACAUGCUUCCGUGCUUUGCGUUGAGUUCCAAACGGCGUUAUCAUCAAGGCCAAGGAGGGAUUCUCAAGAAGACGAUAAGUCUCCGGUCACCGUCACCGAUUUCAGCAACCAGGCACUGAUCAGUUUGGAGAUGGGGAGACAAAUCCCUUUGAUUUUUUUGGUGGCGGAAGAGGACUCGGCGUCGGUGCAGUUGAAUAAUCUGGUGGAGCAAGCGGUUGAUAAGGCCGUGCAACCAUCUACUUUCCGGCAGAAGAAAUUUUUGGUGUGUUGAAGUGAAAUAGCUUUCGUCGUGUUUGAGAACAUGCAUUAUGGAGAAGAGUGCAAGAUGUUGCUGAGUUACUUGGCAUGAUGGUUGAAGACCACAAGCGGUUGCAGCUUAAUUUGAAAACCUAUGCGAAAAUGUGAAGACACAAAUUAUAUUUAGGCCAAAUGUUUCUAUGGCGUUGUUCUUUCAAUACAACACUGCUUUGGGGGCCGCCUUACCAGGUUUUGGUAGAUGCCAACUUUAUCAAUUUCUCUAUCCAGAAUAAGUUGGAUUUGGAGAAGAGAAUGAUGGACUUCCCAUAUGCAAAGUGUACUCCUGGUAUCACAGAUUAUGUAAUGGCAGAGCUUCAAAAGUUGGGUCAGAAAUAUCGUGUGGCUCUGAGGUAUUUUCCUAUGUUUUCUACAGAUUGUUUUCAUGACCAAAAGGGUUUGAAAUUGAGUGUAUAUGCAGAUGUGCACUUCUAUUUCAGUAUCAUGUCCAUCAGUUUUUUAUACCUAUUGUUCUGUAGUUAUGUUUAUUUGAAUGCUAAAUUUCUAUAAUAGCUUAUAUAUUAUAUCCUUGUAUACUACAUGUUCAGAACCAAAGAGACACCUCUAACUUCACUCUAAUGUUUUGUAUAUGUUAAGUUGGUCUGUGUAAUUGUUAGAAUAAGAACUAAUUGACCUGAUAUAAUGUGCAUGUUGUCCGUGUCAAAAGAAGAGUUGCAGUUGUGGGAUGAAGUCUUGAUGUUUAUAUAUUGAUGGGUGCAUUUGUAAAUUUAUAGUUACUACAUUUAUUGUAUUAUACAAUUUAAAAUACAAUAUAUAGUACAAGAAUGUAAAGGUGCCAUCUGGCACCUUAUUUU